rnacentral:rRNA from 1 species
GAGUUUGAUCCUGGUUCAGAUUGAACGCUGGCGGCAGGCCUAACACAUGCAAGUCGAGCGGAUGAGAAGAGCUUGCUCUUCGAUUCAGCGGCGGACGGGUGAGUAAUGCCUAGGAAUCUGCCUGGUAGUGGGGGACAACGUUUCGAAAGGAACGCUAAUACCGCAUACGUCCUACGGGAGAAAGCAGGGGACCUUCGGGCCUUGCGCUAUCAGAUGAGCCUAGGUCGGAUUAGCUAGUUGGUGAGGUAAUGGCUCACCAAGGCGACGAUCCGUAACUGGUCUGAGAGGAUGAUCAGUCACGCUGGAACUGAGACACGGUCCAGACUCCUACGGGAGGCAGCAGUGGGGAAUAUUGGACAAUGGGCGAAAGCCUGAUCCAGCCAUGCCGCGUGUGUGAAGAAGGUCUUCGGAUUGUAAAGCACUUUAAGUUGGGAGGAAGGGCAUUAACCUGAUACGUUAGUGUUUUGACGUUACCGACAGAAUUAGCACCGGCUAACUCUGUGCCAGCAGCCGCGGUAAUAC